UGCCGCCGCGGAGGCAGACAGACCGGGCGCCGCCGCCGCCGCCGCCGCCCUCCCCCGGCUCCAUGCCGCCGCCGCCGCCGCCGCCGCCGCCGCCUCCUCUCCGGCGAGGGGCGGGGGGCUCCGGCCCCGGGUGGGCACCGCUCCGCGCAGCGCCGCUCCCCGCUCUGCCCUCGGCGGGGGCGCCCGCCGCCUCCUAGGAGCGCACGCUCCGCGCGCCCUGCCGGAGAGAGAGGGGGCGGGCGUGGGCGGGGGCCGGCGGGCGGGCGUCGGGGCGGCGGGGACCCCGCGCGGCGGCCGGAGGAGGGGGCUUCCCGGGAGGAUGCCCGGCGGCGGCUGCCCGCUCCCAGGCGCGAGCUGAGCCGGACCGGGAGCUGGCGGCGCGUCGCCAUGCCGGCGUGACGGGCGCCCCCGGCUGCCCGCGCGGGCCCCCGCGCUGCCCCACGCCGCGCCGCGCCGGCGCCGGGCGGCAGGAUGGGCUGUAUCCAAAGCAUCACCUGCAAGGCGCGGAUCCGGCGCGAGAACAUCGUGGUGUACGAUGUGUGCGCCACCAUCGACCAGUGCCCCACGCGCAUCGAGGAGACCUCGCCCAUCGUCCUGCGCUACAAGACCCCCUACUUCAAAGCCUCGGCCCGCGUGGUCAUGCCCCCCAUCCCCCGCCACGAGACCUGGGUGGUGGGCUGGAUCCAGGCGUGCAACCAGAUGGAGUUCUUCAACACCUACAGCGACCUGGGCAUAUUCUCCAGACCAUCGCUGUUUGGACAGAUGAUCGGGAAGAGAAAGAAGACCCACUUCUGGUGGCAGAAGGACGGACAUCCCUCUGGCUCCUGGGAAUUCUGGUCAAGCUGGGAACUACCUGACUUGAGGGAAGGGAGAGUAAAAGCCAUCAGUGACUCAGAUGGGGUGAGCUACCCUUGGUACGGGAACACCACAGAAACUGUGACCCUGGUUGGUCCCACCAACAAGAUCUCCAGGUUCUCCGUCAGCAUGAAUGACAACUUCUACCCAAGUGUGACGUGGGCAGUGCCAGUGAGUGACAGCAAUGUGCCACUGCUCACAAGGAUCAAGAGGGACCAAAGUUUCACUACCUGGCUGGUGGCCAUGAAUACCACCACAAAGGAGAAGAUCAUUCUACAGACCAUCAAGUGGAGGAUGAGGGUGGACAUUGAGGUGGACCCUCUUCAGCUCUUGGGGCAACGGGCCCGGCUGGUGGGCAGGACUCAGCAGGAGCAGCCCCGGAUCCUGAGCCGGAUGGAACCCAUCCCCCCCAAUGCACUAGUGAAACCCAAUGCCAACGAUGCCCAGGUCCUCAUGUGGAGGCCCAAGCGAGGACCACCUCUGGUUGUGAUCCCUCCUAAGUAGAAGCAGACUGGCCUGACUGUGUGUGGAGCACAUGACGCUAUGACACGCAGUGAGGCUGCCAGGGGUGGCAGGAGCCAAACUGAGUUUCUGAGCCAAAGCAGACCACUUGGUUUGCCAGCAUUUGCAGCCACUUAUGAAGAGUAGGGCUGCUUCUUGGGUGGUAGAACCAUAAUCCUUAGGAAAAGUCCCUUCCUUUUAGGAAUAAAGAAAUCACUGAUUUGACAGACUUGCUGUGAUUACCAUGCAAGUAGCCAUAUUUUGGAGCUGACCAGGAUGAUUCUUUUAUCUGAACUACUGACCAUUUCUUUCCUGUGAGAUGCAGGGGAUGGAAACAAAAUUAAACAGUGCCUGUGGCAAAUGCUGCUUCCCAACCAAUUAGAAGUGGGAGUGAAAACAUCUACACCAGGUGUCACCUAGUAGGACAAGGCACGUCCAGCAAGCAGAACCACAUGGCAGAGACUAAAGAGGAGGAAAUGAGCCAUGGCUGGUGGUUCUAGAAGCUGAAGACCUGGACAGCUGAUUUCCCAUUAAAACGAGUGCCAUUCUCCCUGUCUCCUAGCCAUCCUCCCAUCCCGUGAGCUGUACCCCCUCCUACCAAAGCACGGGUCAUGCAGCACUCCCCAUGGACUGGCUGGGCUCGGCUCGGCUCUUGGCGGGCUGUGCUGAAGUGGGAGCUGUGUCUGCUGUAUCUUUUUGUGUGGAAAGAUUGGGUCCAUCCAGAUCUCAAGUCCAUCCCCGACCCUCUAAAGUGAAGCUGCCCAGGGAGGAAGAGCUGGUCAGCCUGGACUUCAGACACCUAACAUGGCCCAGCCUUGGUUCCCAAACUCUUGCCUUCCCUCCCUACGCUUUUGGGUCUGAAACAGCGGGAAUGCAUAUCUCCCCUUUUCCUCCCUUCUCCACAUGGGGGGCCAGUGUGGAUACGCUCUUGAGAUUUCUCUGAUCCUUGGAGCUAGGGCCAAAGCAGUCCUGCUUCCCUGGCAUGACCAGGCUGGGUGUCUUCAGGUGACCAAGGGCAAGUGUAUGUCAGCAGGAUCGAUGUGGGGAGGGGAGAGCCACCCUAAGAGGGGAAAAAUGGUGUGCAUUGUUUUAUUUAUUGGUUUAUUGGUUGGCUUGCUUACUGGUUGAUUCAUUUAUAAAAUAUGUAUUUAUUAUACAGCAGAAAACCCACUCCCAUCUUUGAGGCGUCCAGCCCCGGAAUCUGUCUUCUUGGCCCUGGAGAGCACAGUGAGUGACUCCUCUCUGAAGCCACAGAAAAAACAGAGGGGGGAUUUCUCUCUCUGUGCCCAAACACUUCUACCCCAACCAGAUUUUCAGCCAGAAGUGGGGUUAGAAACCACCAGCUCUAGUGAGGCAAUAAAGCCAUACAAAUCAGCAGAAAGAGGGUCAACUGUCCAAGUAGAAGCUCCCAGCAUCCCGCCCUCCCCUCCCCCUCACAGCAUAACCCCUCCCCUGCUCUGUGUGCACGUGGGGCGGACCGGGAGGGGGGGGGGCAGUCAGCUGCAGCCUGGCCACCUCGGAUCUAGAUUUUUCCUUCUGCUCUGGUGCCGCCUUCUGAAGUCCACAUGCACAUUAGAGAUGCCUGAGGAGCUUAAAAACCAUCCAUACCCGGUCCCCUCUCCAACUCAUUACAGCAGAAUCUGGGGAUAGAGCCUGGGCAUGGGUGUUUUUAAAAGUACCCCCAGAUGAUCCUAAUGUGAGGCUAGGGUUGAGAAGCACUUCUAGUGUUUUUUCCCUUCGUCCCUCCCACCCAUCCACAUCCUUCAUCCUCUAUUUCCGGAGCUUUCUGCCUUGCCAAGAAUGGGAGUGGCCACUGGGGAAUGAGAACUCUCUUCCCAUUUCUCCAGCCCCUCCUCCUCACUCAACCUUACCCAUCAGGUCAACCAACCUGAGUGGAUCCCUGGAGAGUUGGCAGGUCCCACCAUUUUGCACCCUGAGGCUGGUGCCUACACCCAGCCCGGGGGCUCUCAAACGGUGUCCAGCUUUUCUAGGAAUAGAAACCCACUCCCCACCAGAUUCUCUUUUCAUCUGCCCCAGACUCCCCAACUCCAAAGGUUUAAAGGGCACUUGGGUGACAUUUAUGUCUCCAAAUCCCAAUCCUGAUGGGAAGGCCCGUGCUGAGUCUUGAUAACCCAAGGCUUGGCUAUUUCUGCAGAGCCACCUGAAUUGAAUGAGGGUCAACUGGUAACAGAGGAAGGAGUCUCAUUACCCCAAGCCAGUUCUUUCCCCAACAGUUGUGCAGCAUCCAAAUCCCAAAUGGCUGAGAAGAGACAUCUCCCCCUUCACACUUUACAAGAUCUCCACUGAGUGUGAGUAAAUGCGUGUGUAUGUGUGUGAUGCAUACGUGUGUAUGUGUGUGAUGUGCAUCAGCUGCAUACAAACCGAGAUCCACAGAGAUGUACCAUGUUCAUAAAUGGGCCUAGGUGAUUUCCAUAUUAGAUAUAUACACAAGAAUGUUGUAAUAUAUACAAACUGUUACACACACACACACACAGUCCAGGGAAACCUGGGAUGUGGGAAGAGGUUUUUUUCGUACUUGAUCUCCCCCAUCUGAGUAAUUUCCUGGGGCGAGUACUAGUUCACACACACCCUCCGUUGCCCAGCCUGUCCCCUCUGCAUUCCAUACCACCAAGCCUUCUUUCCCCAUUAGUCAGAAUGUCCCUGCCCUAUGUCCCAUCUCUCAGGGUCCUACUCUCUGAUAGGUGACAGACAGUUCAGUCAGUGGGUGCUAAAGAGUUGAGGGUUACCCCUCCCAGGUGACAUUCAUGUUUUAAUUGGGGCUACAGAUAAUGCCUUAAUCCGAAGGAGUGGCUCUAACAGUGGGUAUCUCAGGCACAGCAGUGGGCCAGUAAGGGAGAUUAUUUUUUAUCAGGGGAGCUUUUUAGAGCCCCCCAACCACACUUAUCUCUAAGAUCAACCCUUCAUAAGUACAUGAGCACAAGCAAGCACACUUACCUAUGUACACUUUCCAGAAUGUUGACACUCCUCCCUUAUAUUGGCCCGAAUUUUACAAAUGAAAAAAAAAAAAGAAGAAGAAGAAGAAAAAGAAGAAGGAACAGCUAAAUUAAUUUAAACCUCACUGGGAAAUGUAGCCUGUAUUUCACUGGCUGCCAGCCACCUGGCCCACCCCACCCUGUUCCAUUUCCCUGCUGCUCCUUCUCUUUUCUGCUACCACCCCAUCAGUUAAUUUACUCAAAAGUGUCCUCUCUGUGCCCCCCUCCCCCCGUGCCCUCCAACAGAUGUAUUUCCUUCCUUCACUGUUUCCCGUUUGGAAUUGUGCUGUUUUUCGGUGUUGUCUGGACAAAGAGCAGGUGAAAAGCAUGAGCAUGUGUGUAUCACUUGGAAGAAAGAGAAACCGGGUAUUCUGCUGCAGUUUGGAGAAAAAGCCACCCAAGGAAGAGACGAAAGCUGGCUCUGCAGAGUGCCUUAAAAAUGACUUCAAUUAGGAAAUUCUGAGUCGUCAGUCUUUGGAUGUUACAUAAACUCAAACAGAUGUUGCAUUUCACUUCUCUGGGAUUAAAAAAAGUUAAAUACAGUAUGUAUUCAACAACAACAAAGUAUCUUUUCUCUUUAAUUUGGUCAUUAAAGAUGCAGCGGCUGGUUUUGUUUUGUUUUGUUUUGUUUUAAAGCCUUGGGGAGGCCUCAGAAUAAGCAGCUCUGGGACGUACAGAGGGCAGAU